AUUGAACGCUGGCGGCAGGCCUAACACAUGCAAGUCGAACGAAUGGCCGGACGGGGAGGAAAGUUUUGGAAAACGGCCGAAUGGGGGGGAUAAACACUGGAAACCGUAGCUAAUACCGCCUAGCAUCGGGAUUGCCCCGAUGGGAUUAGCUAGUUGGUGGGGUAAUGGCUCACCUAGGCGACGAUCCCUAGCUGGUCUGAGAGGAUGACCAGCCACACUGGAACUGAGACACGGUCCAGACUCCUACGGGAGGCAGCAGUGGGGAAUAUUGCACAAUGGGCGCAAGCCUGAUGCAGCCAUGCCGCGUGUAUGAAGAAGGCCUUCGGGUUGUAAAGUACUUUCAGCGAGGAGGCGUUACUCGCAGAAGAAGCACCGGCUAACUCCGUGCCAGCAGCCGCGGUAAUAC
rnacentral:rRNA from 1 species